AUGCUUGUUGAGUCCCUUGCAUACAAUUUACUUUUCGUUCGUCAACUUGCAAUCAUGGGCUUUGCCACUUUCUUUGAUAUCGAUACCGUGGCCCUCUUGUGGAGCAAGACUCUUAAAGUAGCCUUUGUUGGGCAUGUCGAGAACGGUCUAUAUGUGAUCAAUUUUUUGGAGCGACCCACUAAGACCGCGACAUGCCUAAUGGCUAAAGUUGAUGUGGGAUGGCUUUGGCAUCGCCGUUUAGCCCAUGUCAAUAUGAGAUCUUUGCAAAGUCUCCUUAAGGGGGACCAUGUCCGUGGACUAACGAAUGUUAGUUUUGCUAAAGAUCGUGCUUGCAGUGCCUGUAUCGAAGGAAAGCUACAUGAGAAGGCUCACCCUCCCACGACUAUCAUUUAUUCAAAGAGGCCUUUGGAGCUCCUUCACAUGGAUCUCUUUGGGCCUCCAUCCUUCGAUAGUCUUGGAGGUAGGAAGUAUUGCUUGGUGAUUGUGGAUGACUACUCAAGGUACACGUGGGUGUAUUUCUUCAAGAGGAAGAGCGAGACCCAACAAACUGUCAUUGACUUUGCAAAUGAAGCACAACGUCAACACAAUGCAAAGAUCUUGACAAUAAGAAGUGACAACGGCACCGAGUUCAAGAACUACACCUUGGAUGAGUUUCUUAGUGAUGAGGGAAUCAAGCAUCAAUAUUCCGCACCCUACACCCCUCAACAAAACGGUGUUGCGGAGAGGAAGAACCAAACGUUGAUGGAUGCGGCAAGGACCAUGAUGGCGGAGUUCAAGUCUCCGUACAACUUUUGGGCCGAAGCCAUCAACACUGCGUGUCAUGCAUCCAAUCGGCUCUACCUCCACAAGGGCUUGAACAAGACUUCAUAUGAGAUACUCACCGGUAACAAGCCCAACCUCAAGUACUUCUGGGUAUUUGGGUGUAAGUGUUUCAUUCUCAAGAAAGGUGUUCGGUUGUCUAAAUUUGAGACUAGAGCUUAUGAGGGCAUAUUUGUUGGUUAUGCUACAAACUCUCAUGCUUACUGUGUCCUCAAUAAAUCCACGGGACUUAUUGAGGAGACGUGUAACGUGGAGUUUGAUAAGAAUAACGACUCCCAAGUGGAGCAAAGUGGCACUUGUGAUGUAGGUGAUGAAAUUCCUCCUCAAGCCAUAAGAAGAAUGGGUGUUGGUUUUAUCCUACCUGUCGGGGAUAUGCCCCGCGGCGUAAACCGGCCGGAAGGAUAA
rnacentral:rRNA from 1 species